CCAAGCAUCACAAAGAUAUCCUUCAUAUCGUUUUAAAUAUCAAAUAUCUUACCCAAACUGGAACUCCACCAAAUAUAAUGUCACUCAAAGGUUGAUCAAGAUAGUCACCCUUGCCUAUGGGAAGAUGCACAGUCAAGAACCAAAAGCAUCAGCUAAAGAAACUCUAAAGAACAGCAGAAAUUCCAGCUCCCGAGAUAGAUAAAAGUGAUGGCACAAUGGUCUAAAAAGAAGAGCAAGCAUUUCUCACACAUGGCCUGUUGACAUACCAUUCAAAGAUAGAAACAACAGUGCUUAAUGAAAGCAAAAUUUCUUCAUCUUUCACUGACACUAAUCUCAAUAAAGCGAAAGAAUAGAAAGGAAUGUAGUUUUUGGUAGUGAAACACAGAUUUGAGUUGAACAACAAAUUUUCAUGUUUUCAAGAAGGGAAUGAAAGGGACUGCUGAUGAGGAUCCUAUAAGAAAACAUCCAAAGGAGUAAUAUUCAAAUUGACAAGGAAUUCAAAUUCAUAAGAUUUUCUUGUGAGUAGAUAUUGCAUGAUUACCAUUCUAGUUUCUUUCUACUACACGGUAAUCACACGGAUAAGCCCACUAAUAGUACAUAAAUAUAACAGUCUUAAAGAAAUUCAACUAUUCAUAUCCACUAUCGCUUCUAUUCAACGCCCCCUAAGAGCAACCUUGAUAUACACAACUACGCAAUGAUACUUUUCCACACACCAAUAACAAAACUCUCGAUUCACAAGUCAUCGAUUUCUAGGCAAAAGCGAAGCACAAGGCCAUAUCUCUGUCCAAUCAUAGAGCCAAAUUCUGAUACACUCUGACACACCAAAAGAUAUCAAUAGCAAGAAGAAGAUCGAGACUUUCGACAAAUUAUGUGUACCAAUUACUAAUAUUAUCUAAGACAUCGCCAUGUUCAAAGGUAUAAAUACACGUAGGAAGUCAUACAUGUUAUGUCCAUGAAGCCGAGAGAAUACUAGGGUUUCCACGUCUCUAUCUCUCUCUAGUUGAUGUCUGAAUCGUCGAAAUCAUCCCCAAAUGCGUUGUAGAGCUCAAUAUUAGAGGGCUUGGUGGUGUCGAGGAUGACAUCGCCAAUGAUCCAACCUGGGAAAAGCUAUUGAAACUCAGGAAAGGAAAAUAACAAUCCAAUGCCACUGUUGUGAAAUCCCUGAAUCCAGAGAAACCUGGACUGAGUUCUCUUAUGAGCAUAUUCUUGUAUGGCAACAUCAAAUAAAGGAUAGAGGAUGUAAAGGUAAGCAAAGUGCAAUUAUUCAUGGUGGACCAACCAUGAAAGCAGCAGCUGUCUUCCCUAUAAUUAUUUGUAAAUUUGGCAAUAGUGAAACACAAACGCUUCCUAUUUAUUUACCACAGAAAAUCUUUACUGUUUAGUUACCACAGUUUCCAUCAAAUGAUGAGUCCUCCCUUACCCAGAAGUUCUUGCAGUUCUUCAACUUGGAUGCUUCCAGUUCUUCAAUAUUCUAAGUUCAUUUUGUGGAUAUCAAGAAAAGAGCACCAUAUCCAUUCCACUAAGAAGAAAUCGUCAAAUCCAAUUUUUGAUCUUCCUAUCUUAAAGAUGAGUCUGUUUCGUAGUUGUCGAGAUUAAGGGUGAGAUUGGGAGUGAUGUGGGAACUGAGAAUGGUGGAUCAUGAAAAGGCUAGAAGAUCUCUAUGGUAGGGAGUGCUCGCCAUAAAUGCAUAUAUUAAGGAUCCUAAUCACGACCUCUUGGGUAUCUCAAUCCCAAACCUUUGGGGAUCUCGCUCCCAAGUACAUAUAGUCUGAUACUCUUUAAAAUAGGGGUUUCUUUAUUUAUGGCUGGCUAGCAAUGCAACUACAUUAAAAAUAUAGUUGCAUUGCUAUUUGGCAAUGGAUAAAGAGAAUCAUUAGUUUAGUUGUUAUCAUAAUCUUUUAGUUGGGGAUUGAGAUCCCUUAUAGUGGAUAUUGGGAUCCCAAAAUUUAAAAAUAGAAAUCCCUUGAAGAUCCCUUUCAUGUAGCACAGGAGUGAGAUUCUGGAGCGGGAUUGCCACUUUAGUUUUGAGAUCUCAGUAACCAUGGUCUAUUUUAUAGGAAUGAUAAUUUGGAGAACACAAAUCUUUACUUUGGAAACUUGAAUAAUAUGACGUCCAUCAUAUUCUUUGAUAGCCCCACAAGAUGCCACUAAUCAAUACCUCAAAGGAUAUCUCCUUCCCUUUAAAAGAAGUGAGAUUCAUGCCAUAGUUUCCAAACUAUGAUGGCAAAUAUGAUUUUCCAGAGGUUGGCAACUUGGGCACAGACUUCAACAUAUUUCUUUGGAUUUGAUAUGUAGUUAGUAUGGCAAAAGAUUGAGAUUUUCUUUUUCAUUAUUUUUUUAUCUGGUACGUUUUAUGGGCAAGGCGUAUCUUGACUUGAAGAUCAAAAGAAUGAAAUUUUAUUUUUCAUUAUUUUUUUAUCUGGUACGCUUAAUGAGCAAGGCGUAUCUUGAUUUGAAGACCCUGAGGCCUAAGCAGUAGAUGGAAGAAAAUGAAAACGGAAGAAUCCAGCAGGUUUUCGUCGCAAUUAGUAGACACCCCCAGUGUGUAAGUGGAAGGUCAAGGGUUUGACCCUUUAAGUUUGCCCCUGAAAAGAACAAACCACGUUGACCUGCAUUUAAUACAAUAAAAGACUUCUACCCAGCAGUUUGGUUUUUAGGGUAGAAUGUGU
rnacentral:lncRNA from 1 species